UACGUAGGGGGCUAGCGUUGUCCGGAAUCAUUGGGCGUAAAGAGCGUGUAGGCGGCUCGGUAAGUCCGCUGUGAAAGUCCAGGGCUCAACCCUGGAAUGCCAGUGGAAACUGUCGAGCUAGAGUCCGGAAGAGGCGAGUGGAAUUCCUGGUGUAGCGGUGAAAUGCGCAGAUAUCAGGAGGAACACCAAUGGCGAAGGCAGCUCGCUGGGACGGUACUGACGCUGAACGCGAAAGCGUGGGGAGCGAACAGG
rnacentral:rRNA from 1 species